rnacentral:tRNA from 2 species
GCCGAGAUAGCUCAACGGUAGAGCACAGCUUUCGUAAAGCUGAGGUUGAGGGUUCAAAUCCCUUUCUCGGCU